rnacentral:misc_RNA from 1 species
AAGUCGUAACAAGGUUUCCGUAGGUGAACCUGCGGAAGGAUCAUUAACACGUAUCCAAACGUUAAACCCCCCUGUGAACCUUCAGAUGUACUCCUACGUCCGUUAGAAAAAGCAGCAAUCCCUGGUAAAUCAUCGCCGAACAGUUUUCGAUUCUGGGAUGUCUGCAAGGAGCGUGGAUGUUGUGCGAAGCAAGUGGCCUGGCAUCCCCAAGCAGUUAGUGUCUGAAAGUGUCAUUAACUGUGUAAGGAUGACGCAGUCACGAUCGUUGGAGGCCCACACGGCCGACGACCGGGUCACUGGGCGCAAGCCCCCUUAUCACAAACCCAUAUCUACACUUAGGGCCGCGUGAAAUUCGCAGUCCAACAAAAACCGAACAACUGUUAACAAUGGAUAUCUUGGUUCUC